rnacentral:lncRNA from 1 species
AACAUAAACCACUACCAUUCGGUCCUCGAAUAAUAGACCAAGAACUCGAAGUUUGAAGCUGCACCACACUCGCUGUAUCACCAACUUUAUCCUUUUGUCUUUAAAAGAAAAAAAUCAAAUUAAUUCUUUCAAAUAAUCCAAUCUGCCAAUUUUUCAGUGGCUCUGGUGUUGCCAAAUGCACACAACACUAGACUAAAUUACACCUGCACCAUUCUCUCAUUGCUGGGUUAGUUAGUAACUCACGGGACAUAGAAACAGAUACCUACACAGAAACAGGUAUUAGAUUCUUUAUUUUUAAUUAGUUUAUUGAUGUCAUUCUUGUCAGUUAUUAGAUUCUUUUUGAUUAUUUGCAACAAUAGAGUGUGUGGUAAGGGUCGGCCUCUUCGUUUUCUGAAAUUUUUCUUUUUAGUGUAGGAUUUUUGUAUGAUUAGAGGUUUGAUUUAAAUUUUUAAUCUUUUUUUAUUUAUUUUGAUAUCUAAUGUGUAAAGAUCAUUGAUUAUAAGUCCAUUUUAUUUCUUCUUUCCUUUUUCUUGAUUUGUUUGUCGGUUAUUCUGUCUGCUUCUUGAAAAGCUGCAUUCUUGAAAACUGAUGCUUGCUCAUUCUAUUUUGUUUCGUUGAAUGAUUUACAUGUUUUUAUUGUAAUUAUGGUUCUUAUAAUUUGAGCAAAUCAGGAGAAUUAUUGGGUUAUUGACGAGAUAUGGAGUUUUCCUGUACUGGGCCACCUACUAAUUUCUACUCCAAUGGAAAUUUCAGGUUAGGAACUGAGUUUGCUGUUUUAAUUAUACACCAUUGCUCCAAAGGCAUUAGACUAUGAAUCAUUGAGUAAAAAUGUGAAGAAGGAAGGGAAGAAGGCAUACAUAUGUGAUCUUCUUGAGGUUCUUGUAGGAAACUGAUUUUUUCUAUACCUGUUUUUUGCCUUAUUUUGAAUUUAUGUUUCCUUGUAACUAACUGUAAUAUGUGGAAUUUCUGCUGAGCUCUUGGGAGCACUGGGUAUUUUAGCAUGAUUUUCUGCUCUUUAUUUUUGAAUUUUCUGUAAACUCAUUAACUUGCGGUCAAACAUUAAAAUAUCUCCAGNNNN